GACGAACGCUGGCGGCGUGCUUAACACAUGCAAGUCGAACGGAAAGGCCCUGCUUUUGUGGGGUGCUCGAGUGGCGAACGGGUGAGUAACACGUGAGUAACCUGCCCCUGACUUUGGGAUAACUUCAGGAAACUGGGGCUAAUACCGGAUAGGAGCUCCUGCUGCAUGGUGGGGGUUGGAAAGUUUCGGCGGUUGGGGAUGGACUCGCGGCUUAUCAGCUUGUUGGUGGGGUAGUGGCUUACCAAGGCUUUGACGGGUAGCCGGCCUGAGAGGGUGACCGGCCACAUUGGGACUGAGAUACGGCCCAGACUCCUACGGGAGGCAGCAGUGGGGAAUAUUGCACAAUGGGCGGAAGCCUGAUGCAGCAACGCCCCGUGCGGGAUGACGGCCUUCGGGUUGUAAACCGCUUUCGCCUGUGACGAAGCGUGAGUGACGGUAAUGGGUAAAGAAGCACCGGCUAACUACGUG
rnacentral:rRNA from 1 species